GAAUGCUUCUCCAACAUGAUUCAGGACAUGGUAGGACAGAAACCAUCUGCCUUCUUUAAUCUAUGCUGGAAAUGCAUCAUUUCUCUGCUGACACUUUCUUCCUUCAUCUUGUACCUCGUUGAUUAUCAACACCUCAAGAUUAACAACUCGUACGUUUACCCAGACUGGGCGUACACACUAGGAUGGGCCAUGACUCUGUCGUCUGUUCUCAUGGUACCACUGUUCGCAGCUGUACAGAUGUAUUUAACACCAGGCACCUUCAGACAGAACCUGAAAAGGAGGGAAAAGUAAGCGCAAGAGCAGCCAUUAGGCUUCUUUCAGGCUUCAUCUGGAUUUUGGAUUCUGAAGUUGGAGAAACUGCCUUCAAAUUUCUGUGUGCAGAGCAAUGGCCAAGAAAAGGAAAGACUUCCCCGAGUGGAAAAAAAAGAUGAAGAUAUAAGCUGGUGAUGAUCCAGAGCAGCUGGUCUCAGGAAAUGAAGAAAAACCCUGAUCACCUUCUCUACAAACACAAGAAUAAAUUGCGACUAGUCUCAAUGGCUGACACGGAGGAGCAACACAGCGACACGUUAACUCCGACUGCUGCAGUUCCUGUAUGAACUGAGCAACUCUUAAAAUCCAAGGAAAAGCUGUGUGUAUUUUACUUAAAGCUCAGAUGGACCUUGAUGUACUAACAUGUAGGCUGCAUUCAGGACUUUGUCACACUGUUAUAUGAAGAGCGGUAACAAGACUUUGUAGUAAUUUGUCUUACUAUUGUCUUAUUUGUUGUGAUUUAGGGUCUGUGCGCACAAGCAGAGGUUUUUGUUUGUAACUGUAACCUCGUUUUCAGAGCCUUGUCUAACAUUUAAUGGUCAUGAAAUAUGUCAGACUUUUUCCUCUACUUAACCAGCUUAGAGAAUUUGAACACCGUGGAGAAAAAGGUGUGCAUUAAGGAUUUUGAACUAUGAUGUUUAAGUGUUGUCACUGCUGAGGAUUCGUGGACACAGAUCCUUAUUCACUAUGCUGCUGUUUACAGUUUAACUUUUCAUCAGAACAAGCACUUCUAAUUAUACUUUGCUCCUCACUGACAAAACAAGUCCCGUAAAUACACUUUUAUCUUUAAGUUUGGGACAGUAAUCUGUCUUAAUUUAUUAUGUGUUGUAGUUAUCAUAUGGGGAAAAGUCCUGUGGUUAUCCAUCAGUCCUGUUCGAAUAAACCCAAAGUUCAGGAACAUCUUCUUUAGAUUUGUUCAGUUGUAUUCAUGUGGCACCACUUAAACAGUCAACAAAUUUUGACUCAAGUAUGUUAUAUUGUAACGUAAAGAGCCCAAAGAGUUAAUCUCAGACAAAUGUUCACACAAAUGUGAAUUACAUUCACUUCAUUAAUGAAGUGAAUGUAAUUCAGUAAUCAAAGGUGUUUGGCUAUAACUGACUACAUGUGUAUACUGUAUCAUAAGUGGACAGAGAUGGAUGUAAACCACACCUUAACCAUUUGGCUGAGGCAAAACUACCACAAGGCAGUGAUUCUAACUCAAAGGUACUCUGGAUAUUAUUAAAUGUGAACAUGUCGUUAAAUAUGACAUUUUUUGUUUGUCAGGUGUCCUGUUUGAAGAAAACACUUGGUAGCCACUUGAAUGAAUGUAAAUAAACACAUUUACAUGAGGGCAACCUGAUUUCAAGGUAAUAAAAAUGCUCAAAUUUGAAA